UACGUAGGGUGCAGGCGUUAAUCGGAAUUACUGGGCGUAAAGCGUGCGCAGGCGGUUUGCUAAGACAGGUGUGAAAUCCCCCGGGCUUAACCUGGGAACUGCGCUUGUAACUGGCAAGCUAGAGUGUGGCAGAGGGGGGGUGGAAUUCCAGGUGUAGCGGUGAAAUGCGUAGAUAUCUGGAGGAACACCGGGUGGCGAAGGCGGCAUCC
rnacentral:rRNA from 1 species